GGGACUGUGAGGAGAACUUUCUCCAAACUGGUCGACAUCUGCCAGGAACUGGAGAGGAAACUGUGUGCAGAGGAGGUAAACAAGAUGAAUAAAUAUGCAGUGGAUGUAACUCUGGAUCCUGCUACUGCUGCUGGCUGGGUGGUCCUGUCCCCGGAUAAUAAAA